GAUGAACGCUAGCGGCAGGCUUAACACAUGCAAGUCGAGGGGCAGCGAGGAAGUUGCUCGCAACUUCUGUCGGCGACCGGCGCACGGGUGCGUAACGCGUAUGUAACCUACCUCAAACAGGGGCAUAACACUGAGAAAUUGGUACUAAUUCCCCAUAACACCUUGGAGGGCAUCCUUUAGGGUUGAAAGUUCCGGCGGUUUGAGAUGGACAUGCGUUGUAUUAGCUAGUUGGUGAGGUAACGGCUCACCAAGGCGACGAUACAUAGGGGGACUGAGAGGUUAACCCCCCACAUUGGUACUGAGACACGGACCAA
rnacentral:rRNA from 1 species